UACGGCCGUAUCACGUUGAAACACCGGUUCUCGUACCAUCAACGAAGUUAAGCUACGUCGAACCUGGUCAGUGCUUAUUUAGGAGACCACCUGGGAAUACCAGAGGCUGUAAG